UACGUAGGGUGCAAGCGUUAAUCGGAAUUACUGGGCGUAAAGGGUGCGCAGGCGGUUUUUUAAGACAGAUGUGAAAUCCCCGGGCUCAACCUGGGAACUGCAUUUGUGACUGUAGAGCUGGAGUGCGGCAGAGGGGGAUGGAAUUCCGCGUGUAGCAGUGAAAUGCGUAGAUAUGCGGAGGAACACCGAUGGCGAAGGCAAUCCCCUGGGCCUGCACUGACGCUCAUGCACGAAAGCGUGGGGAGCAAGCAGG
rnacentral:rRNA from 1 species